rnacentral:misc_RNA from 1 species
GGAAUUUCUGGAAAUUACCUCCUCCUGUUGUCGAUAUUUGAUUGGUGUCAACUGGAGACAAUUGCUUAAACCCCGGAAUACUGAUAUAAACUGGUUUUGGCCAUGCUUGUUAUGGCACUACUUAGGUAUUCCUGACUUUUGGCUUUAUUUUGUUUUACAAGAACUCAAGAUUGAACUUUGGGUUUCAUUUGAUUUAUUAUUUGGAGUUAUUCUUCAAACUGCACGCUGUCGUUAUAGGACUCAUUUCAAAAGAUUUUGAGGAACUGAAUUGCACGUUAAGACUAUUCUUCAUAACAGGGACCAUCUUGACAUUAUAAGGAGUUUGCACUCUGUGUUGAAGACUAAAAAUGACUUGGUCACAUUUUAAACUGCUAUGGCUUGAUGAGAGACUAUAGUCCUAUGUUUUAUAUUCAAUGAUGCAUUGUGCUGGCAAAUUACAGGUUUCAUGUGGCCAAGACCUACGGCAGAAGUCUCACCACGCUUUGUUUGUUCUAGCCUGGCUGUAUCUGUUGAUGGCCCAAAAGGAGUUCAUAGAAGAUAAUGCACAAAAAAUUGAAUUCAUUAUACGUUUAUCUU